rnacentral:rRNA from 1 species
CACCUCUAGCAUUACAAGUAUUAGAGGCAUUGCCUGCCCAGUGACUAUAGUUAAACGGCCGCGGUAUCCUGACCGUGCAAAGGUAGCAUAAUCAUUUGUUCCUUAAUUAGGGACUAGUAUGAAUGGCUAGACGAGGGAUCAACUGUCUCUUAUUUUUAAUCAGUGAAAUUGACCUUCCAGUGAAGAGGCUGGAAUACAAUAAUAAGACGAGAAGACCCUAUGGAGCUUAAAUUAACAAGCUUAAUUAUUACUUAAAUACCCUAAUGGAACAAAACAAAAAAAACAUAAGCUUAAAAUUUUGGUUGGGGUGACCUCGGAGAACAAAAAAUCCUCCGAAAGAUAUAUAACAUAGACCUACAAGUCAAAGUAACUCAAUUAUCUUAUUGACCCAAAAAUUGAUCAACGGACCAAGUUACCCUAGGGAUAACAGCGCAAUCCUAUUUAAGAGUCCAUAUCGACAAUAGGGUUUACGACCUCGAUGUUGGAUCAGGACAUCCCAAUGGUGCAGAAGCUAUUAAUGGUUCGUUUGUUCAACG